UCUGCUACAAUGAUCCCACAUCCAGUUUGCCUGGGACAGUCUCAGUUUAUGUCUAUUGCCUGGGAAUAAUUAUUAAUUUCCCUUUUACUCUCAGAAGUGUCCUGCUUUGGAUAAUUUAUAUGGCCACUCCUGUAAGAAAAGGAACAGAUUUUCAAAUCCUACUUCAUGUGGUUCCAGAAUCUCUGCUUUUUGCCUCUUUCUCAUCCUCUGUGAGUGCAAUUGUGGCUUUCCUCAUCAGGCGCUGGGCAGUAGCCCUGGGUGAGGUAGGAGGAUGUGGGUCCUGGACGAUAAACGGCUGCUCCCCAGAACCUAGAGCACUUCCGCACAGCAGCAAAGGGAAGCAGCGUCCUCGCCAAUACCUGGGCUGUCCUUCAAGGCUCAGUGCAAGGAAAAACACCUGGGUUGGACAUCAGGUAGUGCUGACUUCCAGACCACUGAGGUCACCUGCAUAAGCGAGUCUGGCAACAAAUAAUCGUCUUCCAGAAAAUGACCAGAAACUCAGCCUGCUUUUUGUCAUUUCACCAGCCCCACCAUCUUUCCUUUAUUCUAGAGCUCCUGGCACACUUACAUGAAUCUCUUGAAAGAAGAGAAAUGAGAGCAUUCAUUCCAUACUAAUACAAUUGUGCCCUAUGGAAAGGCUUUUUGCUGGCAGACAUAGUAGACGGACCAUUUCCCAACUUCUUUUUCUUUGCCACCUUCCAGCCAAAGGUGUCCAUAUGACACAGCUCUGGACAGGAUAAUUGGAAGUCUGUUGUGGGAUUUCUGAGAAAGCUUUUGAUUUUCUGACAGA
rnacentral:lncRNA from 10 species